AAGAAGAAUCGGACCUCGGAGCUCAGUGAGAACGAUAGAAUAAAGGCUAACAGGAAGGUUAUCAGACUGUAAAUCGAGGUACUGCUGGGGAUGAUGGAGACGAGUAGUAGCGAGGAUUUUACUUUCAGUUAUCACUUAAUAGUAGUUAUAGUUUUAAUUUGUUUAAUUUGAAUAGUAAGACUAAGCUACUUAGUAAAGUUUGAGAUAAUAUAGGAUUUUCUAUUAUAAAAAUUAAGAAUAAUGUUUGUUAUAAAUAGAUUACUAUGUUUUAUAAAUCAAGUUUGUUAAUUAAGUAUGUUUGUUGCCUUGUAAAUCUCGUGAGGGAUUUACGGCAGUGA